GCAAUUCUUCCUGUCUUUGACAAUACAGAGCAAUUUGGUAUUGCAAGUCCACACUGACAUCUAGUGCUGAAAAAAUUGCACUAGCCAAUGAGGAAACAAAGAAAAAAAAGAUGUUGGAUUGGAAUGAAAAAUCUAAAAAUAUAGCAAAUCAUCCCUCCUGCUUUAUGAAAAUGACAGUCUGUGGGUCUGUCCAGUGGGCAGGAGGUGCUUGGCUCCAUGAACUUGGGUGCUAUGGGGACAUCCCUUAGAGAAAUGCACAGGGUACCAGGUCUGACAGCCAGACAGCAUAGCAAGCCCUGGCUGCCCCUGAAAACUGCUCUUGGGGACAUGAGCAAUCUAGAGCUGUGACUUAUUUUAAGUUUGUUUUUUAGUCACUGCUGUUGUAGGACUUGGUCUGGAGCUACAUAACUAAUAGACCACUGCUGCCAAUGGCCUGGUAAUCUUGAUUUUACAAAGACUUCACAAGGAUGAAAUGUUCUCACCUUCCAACCCGAGAAGAGAAUUUCCUGGUACAUUCGGAAGAUUCCACACUCUAAGGAGCUUUGGAUCAGGUCCCAGAGGAUGUCAGAGCUCUGCCAGCCCUACUGAAAAACUGUAGUCCAAAUGCUGGCGUGCUAUUUGGCAAGCCACAACCAUAAGGUUAAGCAGAGGUUGCCAGAUGUAUCCUCCAUGGAGAGAAUCCUGGUGUUGCUUCCAAGAAGACCCAAAGGACAUGCAAUCUGGUGGUAGUGAAUUAUUCAAGAAGAUGCCACUAACAUUUUAAAGACCUGCCUGCUGCUGUCACUCUUCUUCUAAUAUUGCAAGCAUUCUCCUGUUCCACCUCUCCACAACCAUUCUCCGGUUCCAUCUCUCCGUAACAGAGCCUCUACCAACAGCUGAUGAAUGUGCUGGAUUUGCAGUUGCCCCAGGAUGCAGCAGUCAAGGCUGUGCUAUCUGAGCGGGGAGGAUGCUUCAUGGAAAGCCUACAAGAAUGCAUUUUACAGAGACUAUUGGAAAAUAUCAGUUCAGAAUUCACUUUCCACAAUCCAUGACACAUCCAGUGCUAAAAGCUGCUUUCACUUCAUCAGGAAUCAGAACCAGUGCCAGACCUGCCUCUGUUUCUUACACUUGCAAAAUUAAUACCAGUAAACUUCAGCUCAGAGAGGACUUGAAGAGAUUGUCUGGCAAAUAUUUUCAAAUGCUGUGAAUGAGCCAGUGGCCACUGUCACCGCUUGUCAGAGUCUGUGGAGGACAAGGCAUGAUAACUGAAGACAGGUGGUCAUUCCUAUGAGGCAGAAGCACACCAGGAGAGCCCUUAAUGAACGGUGACUUUCUCCUCCAGCUGAUGUACAUGGAUGUGAAAAAGCAAUUGGACACAAAAUUUCUCAAGUCCCCAGUUAGGGUAACAUAUUAUACAGCCAUCUUCUCUUAUGAGCCACUGAAAGAUGAAACAAAACAAACGUGAGGAGUGGACACAGCAAAGAGAGAAGCUAAGACAUGCAACUAAGUCUGCCAGCUGUAUGAAGUAAAAUGAUUACCCAAAGGAUGUUUUUCUCUUGUCUCUUUUCUUCUUCAAAAAAAUAGUAGUUACUUAUGACAGCAAUACAGACUUCUCCAACAGAGUGAUCUUAGUGGGCAGUGUCCGUUUAAAUUAAAUUUUUCUAAUCAAAUAGUUAACUUCAUCAAACAGUCAGAAUCAAUGCUCUGUAUUAGACACAGAACCAAACUCAUUAAGACUUUAUUAUUCAAGCAUGCACCUCCCUUCAGCUUUUAUCUCCCCUCAAGGGUUUUCAUAGUAAAGCAGACUUUUUUUUUUUUUUUUAAUUAGCCCUUCUGCCCUGGAGUCUUCUAUUUGAUUUUCCAGUAUCCAGGGAAGUAUUGGUUUUUUUAACUGCUCAAUCCUUGAAUAGAAAAUUUUGCCUCUUAGUUCUGUGUUAUCAGUGAUAAUAAAGCUUCAUGGAAGACAUUUUGAUAAUGCAGAAACAGAAGUGCACAAAGGCAAAGUGACACUUCAAAGGAGCAUUAGCUCUGAUAUUAGAAUCUCAUUUAUCUAACUUGUUCCUAAAGGACAAGUUAGCAAUUCAUGGGGGUACAAUUCGCACGCACACAUGAAGUGGCAUGAAAGGCCCUUCAGUUCAGCAGGGCUGCCUGAUCCCAGUGCCCUUCAGUGUGUGGAGCUUUAUGAAUGUUGUUGUAUUUUUAUUUUUCCUCGACUUCGUUCAUUUUCAUACGAGAACCAAUUGCUUAUUUAACUGUUUCUCUGUGUGUUGUGAGGGAUCCAGAAAUGGUUGUACAAGGAUUAUUGUUAUUGUAGGAGGAUCAAUCUGCAUGUUUGCUGCCUUCCCCUGUAUGCUGAACAACCUGUGACAGCUCACCAGCCAGUGACGUGCGGUACCAUGACUAUCCAGGUGUACAUCUCUGUGUCAAGGAUGCUCUGCCUUUGCUACUUAAUCAUGGUGUAUCUCAUCAACAGGAUAAACAAUGCACAUGCAUCAAUGCCUUAUUAA